CGUUCAGAUAAUUUGAAACAACCGCGUUAUAUUCCCGACUGUAAGUGAUUUGUGAUUGGUCAAUCAAAUUGCACUUUGACACGAUAAUCGCCGACGACAAGUAAACAAACAAGAUGCCGAACGGUUGUUGUGUAUUGGGCUUCAAUAGAACGCAAAUAAGUCACCCAAAAGUAUCGUUUUUCCUCUUUCCCAAGAAAUAUAAAAAUAUAAGAAACUUUUAAUAAGUGGGUAGAAUAAAGGACAACGAGGAAGAAGAUGUUGAGGAAAUGCCAUCUCAGACCAAAAAAGAAAAACAACGAAAUCUAUAUACCGACGAAAACGGGAGGUUGAAAGUAACCUACAUAGCAGCUUUGCAAACCAGGGAGGAGAUCUUGAGUACUCUUUGUGGUUCUCUCUUGCCAAAAAAGACUGGGUAGCUGGAAAACAUCUUGUCAAGUCUACUACAUUCGAAUACGCUGCGAACAUAAUUGAAAUGGCUCUGUACAUGGCAAAAAGUAAUAUGAAAGAGUUUUUUACACUGCUGAAAUAAUGUGCGAUCCGGGAACAAUUGCUGGGAAAUUACCGAAACCAGACAAAAAUUAGUUCGUGUCCAGGUUAUUCAGCUGAUUCAACAGAAAUUAAACACUGUAUAGCCAUACAGUAACAUGACCAUGUUACACUUUUUUUUAUAAGAGCCAUUCAAAUUAUGCCCAGGCUCACUGUUAUUAUUUUUUGCUAAUUCCAGCAUUGCUCUAUUUCCAUUUACAGAAAAUUGUUAUUGUACAGCAGUAUAUUACUGUGCUAUAAACGUUAUAAGAUCGUUAUCGUUGAAGUAUAAACAGGCCUUUAUCCUCAACCUGGGCUUCAAUAUUUGGAAAAGCUUUUGGUUUGUACCUGAUUGUACUUUAAACAUUUCUUAUGAAGUAGUUCUUGUUAUCUUGCAUAGUAAAAUACCUACUACAGGUCUUGUGACAUGUUUCCAAACUACAUCUUCCACGUUGUAUUAGCAAAUCCUACCCACUUAUUAAAUGUUUCUAUAUCUUUUUUGGAAAGAGAACUAAAGAUAGUUUCUGGUGACUAAAUUGCAUUCUGAUGUGUUGAAUUUGUGUAGACAAAAAUCAUGGAAAAUAAUUUUAUAUAACCAAUUAUGUCAUUUACUAAGAUAAUUCAUAUAUAAGGGUUUUUUGAAAUGAUAAUACUGUUAGUGCAAUAAACAAGCAAUUACCAUUAAUCAUUUUUUAACAAGUUAAAUUGGAUAACAAUUAUAUUUAUUAUUACAUGUACUAAUCUUUACAUUUAAUGAUAAAGCAUGCUUUAGCAUGAAUACUGCAAUCAUAAUCUAACUGUAAAUUAGUGGAAA